rnacentral:rRNA from 1 species
GUAGCAAUACUGAGGUGGCGACCGGCGCACGGGUGAGUAACGCGUAUGCAACCUGCCUGUAACAGGGGAAUAGCCUCUUGAAAGAGAGAUUAAUGCCGCAUAAUACGAUAUUCGGGCAUCCGGGUAUUUUUAAACAUUUAUGGGUUACAGAUGGGCAUGCGUUUCAUUAGGUAGUUGGUGAGGUAACGGCUCACCAAGCCGACGAUGAAUAGGGGUUCUGAGAGGAAGGUCCCCCACACUGGUACUGAGACACGGACCAGACUCCUACGGGAGGCAGCAGUGAGGAAUAUUGGUCAAUGGACGCAAGUCUGAACCAGCCAAGUCGCGUGAAGGAUGAAGGUAUUAUGUAUUGUAAACUUCUUUUGUCAGGGAAUAAUGGGUGUCACGUGUGACGCAGAGGAAUGUACCUGACGAAUAAGCAUCGGCUAACUCCGUGCCAGCAGCCGCGGUAAUACGGAGGAUGCGAGCGUUAUCCGGAUUUAUUGGGUUUAAAGGGUGCGUAGGCGGUUUGUUAAGUCAGUGGUGAAAGUUUGCGGCUCAACCGUAAAAUUGCCAUUGAAACUGGCGAACUUGAGUACAGUAGAGGUAGGCGGAAUUCGUGGUGUAGCGGUGAAAUGCUUAGAUAUCACGAAGAACUCCGAUUGCGAA